rnacentral:rRNA from 1 species
GAUGAACGCUGGCGGCGUGCCUAAUACAUGCAAGUCUAGCGAACAGACGAGGAGCUUGCUCCUCUGACGUUAGCGGCGGACGGGUGAGUAACACGUGGAUAACCUACCUAUAAGACUGGGAUAACUUCGGGAAACCGGAGCUAAUACCGGAUAAUAUAUUGAACCGCAUGGUUCAAUAGUGAAAGACGGUUUUGCUGUCACUUAUAGAUGGAUCCGCGCCGCAUUAGCUAGUUGGUAAGGUAACGGCUUACCAAGGCAACGAUGCGUAGCCGACCUGAGAGGGUGAUCGGCCACACUGGAACUGAGACACGGUCCAGACUCCUACGGGAGGCAGCAGUAGGGAAUCUUCCGCAAUGGGCGAAAGCCUGACGGAGCAACGCCGCGUGAAUGAUGAAGGUCUUCGGGUCGUAAAACUCUGUUAUUAGGGAGGAACAAAUGUGUAAGUAACUAUGCACGUCUUGACGGUACCUAAACAGAAAGCCACGGCUAACUACGUG